rnacentral:lncRNA from 1 species
AAAUAAUUACCGUUAGCCCUUAAAUACUUCAGUAUAUAUCUCUGAAGAAUAAGAACAUUCUCUUAUCUAAUUACAUAGAAUUAUAUAGUUGGGAAAAUUAACAGUGACAUAAUAGUAUUGUAUAAUGUGCACUCCUUUAAAUUUACCUAAUUGUCCACAAUUAUUUUUUUCUCUUUUUUUCUGGGACUCAAAGUCAAGGAAUCAGGAUUAUGCAUUGUAUUUGACAUGUUGCUUCAGUCUCCUCUGAUCUAGUUCAUGAGCUCUUCAAGAUUGGGCCUUGCCCUUUGUAUUUUCAUUUCUGGAGCCUGGAAUAUCACUCAGCACAAAGUAUAUACUCAAUAAAGGUUUUCCUGGCCAGAACCAUGAUUUCAUUGGAACAGCAAUAUGCCCAGUCCCGGAGAAGGCAUCAUGAGUUCUCUAUGCCAGUUUUAGCAAUCCAUAGUGGCUGGAGUGUGAUGCAGAAUCUGGCCAAUGAAACCUAAGGAGAAGUCUGCUGGGAGGUUCUUCCUUGAUCAGGAAAAACAACAACAAGAACAACAACAACAACAACAAAAAACAAAGAACAAAAAAAGGAUAGCAUAGAGAGAAGAUUCUCGUGUUAUGGAUGCUGUGAAAAUAAGAUGCCUUUAGAGAUGUCAGCAUCUUGUAAUCGGAAGUAACAAACCUGAGGUCAAUUGCUAGCUGAUGAAGACUGGAGGAAUAGGAAGAUAAAAAGGGCUUGGCUCUUUGAUGGAACUGUUGAAUCCUCAAGUUGACUUGAUGGCUGCC